AACGAACGCUGGCGGCAUGCCUAACACAUGCCAGUCGAACGAGACCUUCGGGUCUAGUGGCGCACGGGUGCGUAACGCGUGGGAACCUGCCCUUAGGUUCGGAAUAACUCCCCGAAAGGGGUGCUAAUACCGGAUAAUGUCUUCGGACCAAAGAUUUAUCGCCUUUGGAUGGGCCCGCGUUGGAUUAGCUAGUUGGUAGGGUAAAAGCCUACCAAGGCGACGAUCCAUAGCUGGUCUGAGAGGAUGAUCAGCCACACUGGGACUGAGACACGGCCCAGACUCCUACGGGGGGCAGCAGUGGGGAAUAUUGGACAAUGGGCGAAAGCCUGAUCCAGCAAUGCCGCGUGAGUGAUGAAGGCCUUAGGGUUGUAAAGCUCUUUUACCCGGGAUGAUAAUGACAGUACCGGGAGAAUAAGCUCCGGCUAACUCCGUG
rnacentral:rRNA from 1 species